rnacentral:rRNA from 1 species
UACGUAGGGUGCGAGCGUUGUCCGGAAUUAUUGGGCGUAAAGAGCUUGUAGGCGGUCUGUCGCGUCUGCUGUGAAAAUCCUGGGCUCAACCCCGGACUUGCAGUGGGUACGGGCAGACUAGAGUGUGGUAGGGGAGACUGGAAUUCCUGGUGUAGCGGUGAAAUGCGGAGAUAUCAGGAGGAACACCGAUGGCGAAGGCAGGUCUCUGGGCCACUACUGACGCUGAGAAGCGAAAGCAUGGGGAGCGAACAGG